UACGGGGGGGGUAAGCGUUGUUCGGAAUUACUGGGCGUAAAGGGCUCGUAGGCGGCCAACUAAGUCAUACGUGAAAUCCCUCAGCUUAACUGGGGAACUGCGUGUGAUACUGGAUGGCUUGGAUUUGGGAGAGGGAUGCGGAAUUCCAGGUGUAGCGGUGAAAUGCGUAGAUAUCAGGAGGAACACCGGUGGCGAAGGCGGUCCCCUGGGCCGGAACUGACGCUGAGGCGCGAAAGCGUGGGUAGCAAACGGG
rnacentral:rRNA from 1 species